rnacentral:snRNA from 1 species
AUCGCUUCUCGGCCUUUUGGCUAAGAUCAAGUGUAGAAAUGUGUAUAAAUAGCUAUCAAGGUUGUUUUAAAUGCUAUUAAUAUAGUGGGAUUAAUGCCAUUAAUAUAGUGGGAUUAUUUUACUACUUUACCUAUUUUAGUUAGCAUCACAGGAAAGUGUAAAACUUU